ACGAAGCAGUGCUCAACAAGUAUUCAGUUCUCAAUGUAAUUAUUAACAGGAACAAUAAUUACGUGAGCAUAUUAUAUUUAACAGUAGUAUCUUUAUUUCAUACCAUGGUGAUUAUGAUCCCUAUUGGCUAAUCCUACAAUCAAGGAACGAUAUAAUGAUAUAUGAAGCAUGGUAUUGUUUUACUCGACUCGAAACAGAGUCUGAAUCCCAACGGAGGUGAGGUCGUCAGCAGGAUUUUUAAAAGGGUCAGCCUUCAUAACCACUCACCAUGAAUCAAAGGGACACAAAUCUGGCGCUGCGAGGACGAAUUGUCACUUUAUGUGACAAUAGCUUCUCGAUACCAGCCAUGGGAGGAGAGUGGGAACUUGAACGACUUGCCUAGGCACGGAAAACCACCCCAGCUGAGGAUGACGCCAUUAUCAGGGCAGUCGAGAGCAACCCUUAACCAAUGCCGAGGCCAUUCAUGAAGACCUUGGAUUAGAAGUGUUAUCGAUGACGGUACGACGCACAUUCCAUGCUGCUGGGAUUCAUCACGGAACUCCAGCGACAAAGGAGCUCUUGACCUGAGUGACAUAAGGCUGGAAGGCUUGAUUUUGCCCAACGUCAUGCUGAUAAGGGUUUGGACUUUUGGGGCAGGGUCAUCUUUACUGACAAGAAGUGCUUCUCAUCCACAUCGCAUGGGAAGCUGGAUUGUUGGUGAACAAAUAGAACUCAGUAUGAUAUGAACCCCAUAACAUCGUUGAGGUGGUUCAAUCCAGCCAUGUCACCUGCAACGUAUGGGCUGGGUGUGUCUGCAUGGUAUGGGUGAUGUGUUCCGUAUCAAGGGACGAUUUACAGCAGCUAAGUAUGUUGAGCUGCUGCAAACCUCCUUCUUGCCUUCGUUACGAGAAAGGAAUUUUCCCUUCCCACCAGGGCCCAUCCUGUUCACACUGCUCAUGUUGUUCAAGUGUGGUUUGCCAGCCAGGAUAACCUGCUUCUUCUUGAAUGGUCGAGCAAAGGAGCAGAUAUGAAUGUGAUUGAACACGUGUGGGCCCAGAUGGUGAAUACAUGGAAAAUGGAACAUGAGAGAACAACACAGCAACUCAAGGCUCACAUCAACUCUCAGUGGGAAAUUUGUAGACGGAGACCGCAGCAAAUUUUCAACCUUGUUCAUUCGAUGCCCGACAGAUUGAGGGAAGUGAGAGAGAGGGUGGAUAGUCAAGGUAUUAGAUUGUAUAAUAUAAAUGUUAUAUUUUUUUGUAAUACAACAUAAAAUGUUCUCAUUUUGUUUUCACUAGUUAUUUGAUUAUGUUUUAAUAAACAUAAUUCACAACAAGUUUUAUUAUAACCAUAAUAUUCUUGAUAUAAUAUUUAAAGUAUCUGUAAAAAAAUGGCAUAAUGCCUCCAUACAAUAUUGAGAGUACUGCAGUAAACUUCCCUACUUACUCAGCCCCCACAUGUUUUUUAUGUCUUCCUAAUCACCGUUUCUUGUUAACAGCAUUGAAUUAUAGAACUGAAUGACUCACCGAGCACUAUUUUCAUACAGUGAGGUCGGUAACAGUAUUGGCAAAUUGCCUUACCUGUAUACUUUUUUCACUGUGGCGUGGCCGAUACAAAUAUGAUACUUCGCCACUUAUUUUCACUUAUUAGUUUCUUGGAGUCUAUUAAAAUAGUUUCCAUUAUUUGAAAUAUAAUGCUUUAUAUCCUACUAAUAUUUUCAAUGUAUCUUGGGUUAAAACUUAAGUUAUAUGAACAGGAGUAAAAAUGUGGCAUAUUUUUUGGCCGUCGUUGUCGUUUCUGAGUAUAGGGGUUAUAUGCUCUGUGGGACAUUUUAAAAGGUAACUGUCAAUUCAGUAGAUGAUACUCUCUUUAUGUCAGCAACUAUAAGGAAAGCCCAAAUGACUUCACCUAUCACCUGAGGUCAACGAAAUAUAUAGUCUAUAAUAUAUCAGUGCACACAUAAUUUUAGAAAAAAACAACAGUUAACCCUUAAAAGGUCAACCACGUCAUAUGACGUGUUGCAGAAGUCAUCCCACACAUGUUGUUUACGGCAUGUGACGUUCUUAAGUUUUUAAUUUUGUGCGCCUUCAUAGCUUAUUGUAUCAAUAUUGGUUCUGUACUACCUAGUGCCUUAUUAGAGGUCUUGCUGGCCGUUUGCACUGCUCGUCUUCCAUUUGUAUGAACUGCGCGGGGGAGAGGAGGUAAGGGUGGCCUAGGAGGUUGUCAGAAACGUCAAACCAGCUAAUCCUGUGGCAAAGGAUUGGUGGCGAUAAUUUUUUGCCGCACACCUUCGAUUUUGAUGAUAGUAUACAGGAAUAAAGUUUUGUUAGUCUAUUUUUAAUGAUUCUAUAAUGGAACUGACUGUAGAGAGAUCCAAUCGUUAAUUUCAUGUUAUGAAAUUGGGUAAUAUAUCAAGAAAACACUCAAGGGAACAAAGAGUUUAUGACAUUACAGUAUCAGAGAUGAGAAAUUUCUUUGCUUUGGCUAUGCUUAUGGGUAUUGUCAGAAAGGGCAAUCUUCGAUAUUAUUGGGUCACUAAUCCUCUCCUGAAUACACUAAUGACAUAUCAGAACUGCAUACUGAGCACAGGGGUUUUUCUUGUCACUAAGUUAACUAGUAUAUCUGAGGGAGAGAGAUAUAAGUUAGCUAGUAUAAGAGAGAGAGAGAGAGAGAGAGGAGCUAAGUGUCGGAGACUCAACAAAUUCAUUGAAUUUUUGGGUAUAUUCAAUCAUUUGCUGCUGCGCUUCUCUUUAUAGCUUCCUAUUAUAUUAUUGGUAGGAAACGCACUGCAACCGAUGCUGUAAACUUGGCUUACCUGAUAAGGUUAAAAUAUCCUGUUAUGAUGUUCGUGAUUUUCGGCAAUACCAAUAUAACUUUAAAAUGUUGAUCAAUUUUAAGUAUUGUGUAAUGAAUAUGACCGAUAUAUAAUAAUAGACACAGUUGUAAGAUAACGUCUUGGCCGAAAGUUAAAUGGAACCUUAAUAAACAAACUUAUAUUACAAGUGUGACAACAGUCUUCAUUACAACGAUAUAAACUAAUCAGAUUUUUUUUUUACUCCUUGUGUGUGUGUGUGUGUCUUUCUCCAACCAUACCUAAUAACUCCUCCCACCAAACGAA